GCCUUCGUAGCUCAGAUGCAGAGCAUCUCCUUUCAAUGUGCCAAUCCCUAAGGAAUCGUUGAGACGACGUGGGUUCGACUCCCACCGAAGGCA